GGUACGAUUGCUGAAAGUGUUCGUAUAAACCUGAUAAUUGGUUCGGGUGUUUCUACAGGGAACCGUAAAUUCCCGGCUACGCAACGCAGAGGGGGAUCUC
rnacentral:ncRNA from 2 species